AUUAGUCUGAUGAAUUUAUUAAUCUGAAAUAUUUUUGAUGACAAACCAAGAAUAUAGCCAAAAGGAUUCUGAUAAAAU
rnacentral:snoRNA from 1 species